UGCCCAGUCCAGUGGCAGUAUCAUAGCCAAUGAGGUUUAUCCGAGGCACAAUUAUUGCUAAUUUAAAACUUUUCCCAAAAUAUACCAGAGUCACAAAAAGAGAAAGCUAUGAUCCUAAUCUCUUAUAAACAUUUAAGC